rnacentral:rRNA from 1 species
GACGAACGCUGGCGGCGGGCUUAACACAUGCAAGUCGAACGGAAAGGCCCUGCAGCUGUGGGGUGCGCGAGCGGCGAACGGGCGAGUAACAAGUGAGUAAGCUGCCGUUGACUGGGGGAGAACUACUGGAAACUGGGGCUAAUAACGGAUAGGAGCGCCGGCUGCAUGAUGGGGGGGGGAAAGGUGCGGCGGUUGGGGAUGGACUCGCGGCUUAUCAGCUUGUUGGUGGGGUAGUGGCUUACCAAGGCUUUGACGGGUAGCCGGCCUGAGAGGGUGACCGGCCACAUUGGGACUGCGGUACGGCCCAGACUCCUACGGGAGGCAGAAGUGGGGAAUAUUGCACAAUGGGCGGAAGCCUGAUGCAGCAACGCCGCGUGCGGGAUGACGGCCUUCGGGUUGUAAACCGCUUUCGCCUGUGACGAAGCGUGAGUGACGGUAAUGGGUAAAGAAGCACCGGCUAACUACGUG